rnacentral:lncRNA from 1 species
GGGCGCUUAUUGUUCUGGGGAGAUGCCUCUUCCAGGAGUGGCUUGGGAGGGUCAGAGCUCCUUCCAUUCAGACCAGUCACCCACUUCUCCAGAAAUCGCGUCCCCUUCUUUGCGCCUCUCGUGCCGACAUUCCCUGCAUCGCUCGUCCCUUUCCUGUAUUGCACUGCCCUGUAAACUGGUGAAUAACUGCGUGGGUUCAAAAGCCAUGCUGCCUCUUUUGAUUCCUGGCUCCCCCACAUGACCUGUGAUAACCUUGGACCAACUGUUUGAGGCCGUUUGAGCCUCAGUUUCCCCAUCUGCAAGAUGGGUGCAAGACUAGCACCUCUUCCCAAUCCCGUGAGGAUUCAGGGAGGUGAUGCCAGCAUGAUGGCGGGAACUUGGCGAACCUUUGCACAGAGGUCCGAUCUCUUGCCAUUGCUGUGUCCUGGGCUGACUGCGGGGACAGCAGAGUUCUUAAAAAAUAAUCGCUUUCACAAACGCCAAUAUUUCAGUUGUGCCUCUCCGGUAUAGACAUCUGCUUAUGAAGAGCUAGCAAUACUGGAGGUUCUAGGUAAGACCUGGCUCACGACAGAGGAGAGUGACAGACCAAGGAGGGACUGACACAGAGAGAAACCAGAGCCACAAUUGGGCAGCUCUGUAGGAGAAGCCAUCCCGGACUGGGGAUGCUGGAGCUGGAAGGAAUGGGGAAGAGAUUUCAUGGAGGAAAUUUACCUGCCUUGGCUGCUAGUGGGUGAUAAGCACCAAGGACUGCCGGGGUUCUGAGGAUGUGAAGGUGUAGGGAAGGAAUGACGGAGCCACGACCUCAUCCCGGGGGGAGUCCAUUCGGGGAGAUGCACGUCUCCCUGGAAAAGCUUAGGGCACAGGUGUCCCGAGGAGCUCCAAGUGGGUGGGCUGGGAGGGGAACCCUCUGCGGUCAAAGGUGUGGGAGCCUAGGUGCCUAGACUAGGCUGGGAGGACUGAAUGAAGAGAGCCUCUCAGAGGCAUUCAGAAAACUCUUGCUCUGCGAGCUCAGGUUUCUGUAAGAGUGCAACCCUAAGAACACCUUGCCAGGCACGAGUAACACCUGGGGAGUUAUUAAAACAUUGAUUCCUGGGCUCUGGCCCCGGGAGGUUCUGACUUAGAAGAGGCCCAUGAAUUUGCAUUUCUGACAGACUUCUGGGUGAUGCUGAGCAGCCAGUCCUGAGGACCACACCGUGAGUGGUGCUGCCCUGGACCACACCCAGGCCCUGUCAGCCCCCUGGAUGCUCCUGCUGCGCCCACACCUGCUGCCAGAGGGAUGCCGUGUGGGGCCCGGGCCUCACCUGGACCAGCCGCCGCAGCCUCUCCUGCUGGUCCCACUAGUUAUCUUUGCCAGUCACCAGUGGGGAUUUUUUUGCUGGUGAUGUUCAGACCUUUCACCUCUUCGGGACCCCUCACCCCAAGCCCGUCCAUUGUGGGUGAGACCUGCGGCCAGAGGUCGCGUGAACACACAUGUGGCCUCCUGACAGUUUAUGGCACGGGUGCUGUCUGGGUCUAGCUCCACGUGCCAAGCGCAGGAGAUGAGACAGACCGUGUGCCUUGCUCUCUGCUCUUUCCAAGCUGGUCUAAAAAGGCUCGCAAGCUAUUCCAUAAAGCAUUGCAUCAGGGAACCUUGAGUCAUGCUGCUCUUGGUCAUCCCUUUCAGGUAUUUGCUGUCCUGAUUAAAAUGUGCAGAGGCCUCAUGAGGGAGCUGUCUCCAGACUCUGAGUCAGGGAAUCCAGUUAAUCGAGUUUGUUAGCCUUGAUUGUAAAGUAGGAGUUAAAGGGCCCAGAAUAAGAGCCUGGCAAGAUUGCUUAUGACACAGUGCAUAGAUUUUAGUGCUUGUGUGUGGGGGAUACCCAUUUUGUUUUUAAUAGUGCUAAAAUGUAUGUAGUGUAAUAUUUAUCAUUUUAACCAUUUUAAGUAUAUAAAUCAGUGAUAUCAACUGCAUUUGCAAUUUUGUGUAACCACUAACCAUACCUAAAGCUGUUUUUCUCAUCCUCAAUAUACAUUCUGUACCCAUUAAACAAUAAGCGCUCUCCCCUCCACUCCUUGCAGCCCUGGGUACCUCUGUUCUACUUUCUGCUUCGUGAAUUAGACUCCUGUAUCUCAUGUCAGUGGAAUCAGGCAUAUCUGUCCUCCUGUGUUUUAUGUCACUAAACAGGUUUUCAGGUUCUACCCAUAUGGUAGCAUAUAUCAAAAUCGCUUUCCUUUUCAGGGCUGAAUAGCAUUCCCCUGUGUACAUAUGCCACAUUUUUUUAAUCCGUUCACCGUUGGUGGAUGCUUGGCUCACUUCCCCCUUUGGCUAUUAACUGAAUAAUGCUGCUCUUGACACUAGUGAAUGAAUACCUCUUAGAAUCUCUGACUUCCGUUCUUCUUUUUACAUAUCUGGGCGUCAGGUGCUGGGUCAUGUGGUGCUUGUAGCUCUAACCCUUUGAGAAACUGCCACACUGGAUUCCACAGCGGCUGCACCAUUUUACAUUCCCAGCAGCAGCAUAUUGUCCACAUCCUCCCUAACAUUUGCUGCUGCUGCUGCUGUUGUUGUUGUUGAUAAUAGCCUAUUAGUAGAUGUGAGGUCGCAGACGUGGCUCGGAUCCCGCGUUGCUGUGGCUGUGGGGUAGGCUGGUGGCUAUAACUCCGAUUUGACCCCUAGCCUGGGAACCUCCAUAUGCCAUGAGUGUGGCCCCCAAAAGGCCAAAAAAAAAAACCCCAAACAUUUUGUCUUGGAGGAUCCAACAGUCCUGAUUUAUGUCACUCACUGGAUGUGUCAGCUCUUAGCACAAACCCUGUGGAUUCCUCCUAAAAUGAAAAUAGGCAGCUACACCCAAGUAAGGUGGCCCCCCCCAACCCCCACCCUUCAAACCACCCCCUGGCUCUCGUAUGUUACGUUUAGUGGCUUUGCAGUGCAUGUCUCUCAGCCAGAGACGCUAGUGGCAAAUGGUUCUCUCUCCAGCGCUGAGUUUAUUGGACAGGCGGUGCAUGCAGAAUUCUGUUUUAUAUGGCGAUUUGGCAUUUGUGCAGAAAAGUACUGCAAGAUUCUGAAGCGUGUUCUUGGGGGUAAAAUCAUAAGGCAUCUGCUGGAAACGGCCGUGACAGAGACGUUUCAACAGAAUCGAACAAAUAAAAGUCAGAACUCAAAAUUGAAUACUGCUGCAUUUUUGUCUAAAUCACCGUGAGCAGAUUGAGAUGUGUGCGUGUGUGUCUUGAGGGACAAAGGCACACGUCCUUCUUUGUGUGUUAAUUGUAGGGGACCGACAGAUGGGAGUGACCGCAUCACCACGUGAUGGCAACUCCUCUUUCUUCCAAGAGAUUUCUCUCCCCUUGGUUUCCCAGCCAGGUCUGACCCUGGACGGGGGCGGCUGGUGGCAGAUAGUCUAACAGCGUGUGCCCUGCCGGAACAGUCUGCUGGCACCACUUUUUAAUAAGGGCUGGGCUCUUGCCUAAGAGCCCAGCAACUUCGGUGCCUCCUCUGCUGCGCCUUCCCCGAACACACCUCGCCCUCGCUAAUAAAUUCCGAGGGCUGACAUUGCCGGAGCCGGCUGGUCUUUGCCCUCAAUUUCAUUGAGAUGGGCCAUUGAAAACUCAUUACAAGCUGUUUAGACUCUGACUUUGACUUUUGCUCGGCAGCGAGCGAAAUUAACAGCUCUUGGAGGUAGCAAAAAAGGCACUCAGCC